UACGUAGGGACCAAGCGUUGUCCGGAAUCAUUGGGCGUAAAGCGCGCGUAGGUGGCCAUUUAAGUCCGCUGUGAAAGUCAAAGGCUCAACCUUUGAAAGCCGGUGGAUACUAGAUGGCUAGAGUAUGGAAGAGGCGAGUGGAAUUCCUGGUGUAGCGGUGGAAUGCGCAGAUAUCAGGAGGAACACCAAUAGCGAAGGCAGCUCGCUGGGACGUUACUGACACUGGGGCGCGAAAGCGUGGGGAGCGAACAGG
rnacentral:rRNA from 1 species